GGUCGCCAUUGCAGCGGGGUGAGGGCGCUUACAGCCAGGGACCGCGCCGCCCUCGCGUGUGUCUGUGGUUUGGGAAGAAUUCCAGCAGUGAGAUUGCUCCCCUGUGGAGAACGACUGCCAUCUCAUGCUAAAUGCACGCACAGCUCAGGACUUGGCCGGCUGUGUUCUUCCGUAGGAAAAAAGGGGGUGGAGACAGUGCAGGAAUGGCCUUUACUGUGAAGUAAACAAGAGUCUUCCAGGAAAUGUUCUGCAGCGUGAUAGAGACGUCAGGAUUGAACUUGACUUCAGAGAUCAGCUGAUGAAAUAGGUCACACAACUGGAUGUUUCACGAACAGUUAUUAUUAUUUCAAGUACUGUGUAGCAGAAGAGACAUAAACUUAUAUGUCAUUUAUUUAUUUUAUUCAAGUUUAUCUAUUACUGAUGCAAUUAACAAAUGACUAGGCAAUUCAGGGGAAAAAAAAUGGUGAGCUAGGGAACUGAGACCUGCAUUAAAUUUUUUUCUUGGAUACAAAAUUUCUGUGACCAGCCAAAGUCUGGGACACAAUCAGAGAUCUUUUAGUUGUUCAAUUCUGCUUUAUGCUAUCCUUGGAGAUAUCUUACCAACAUUCCUUUCUAGACCCCUUAAUGAUUGUAAUCCCAAUCUUUACAUUCCUAAACAUAUUUGGCAACCUGGUCCUUUCUCUCCUUAUCUGCAAAAUGGCUGUAUUUCACAAGGAGUGUUGUGAAUAUCAACAUAUUAAAGUCUGUUAUGUUUUGGGUAGUAUAGUAGGAAGAGCUGUGCAGUCACUUCACAUAGAUGUUUAGUCUGUGACCUGUGCAUACAUAUCAACAUUAACAUAUAAAGUAAC